UACGUAGGGGCAAGCGUUGUCCGGAAUUAUUGGGCGUAAAGAGCGCGUAGGCGGUCCGAUAAGUCGGCUGUGAAAGUCCAGGGCUCAACCCUGGAAAGCCGGCCGAUACUGUCGGACUAGAGUCCGGAAGAGGCAAGUGGAAUUCCCGGUGUAGCGGUGAAAUGCGCAGAUAUCGGGAGGAACACCAAUUGCGAAGGCAGCUUGCUGGACGGUACUGACGCUGAGGCGCGAAAGCGUGGGAGCAACAG
rnacentral:rRNA from 1 species